rnacentral:ncRNA from 1 species
AAAACUAAUUAGGAAAUUAGUUUUGCGAAGCAGAAAAAUGGAAAUCCGGUGCCCGGGUCCUUGCAGGAAAGGAGGCCCGUUAUGCCGGAACGGUCCCGCCGCUGUGAUUUGUCAGUGCACAGUGUUCAGUGCUCAGUGGUCAGGUAAAAGAUAAACAAUCUUUACUGACCACUGACUGCUGACCACUGACCACUGGCGAUAAGUCAGAACACGGCCGAUAUGGUUUUUCACCC